rnacentral:rRNA from 1 species
GAUGAACGCUGGCGGCGUGCCUAAUACAUGCAAGUCGAGCGAACGGACGAGAAGCUUGCUUUUCUGAUGUUAGCGGCGGACGGGUGAGUAACACGUGGAUAACCUACCUAUAAGACUGGGAUAACUUCGGGAAACCGGAGCUACUACCGGAUAAUAUUUUGAACCGCAUGGUUCAAAAGUGAAAGACGGCCUUGCUGUCACUUAUAGAUGGAUCCGCGCUGCAUUAGCUAGUUGGUAAGGUAACGGCUUACCAAGGCAACGAUGCAUAGCCGACCUGAGAGGGUGAUCGGCCACACUGGAACUGAGACACGGUCCAGACUCCUACGGGAGGCAGCAGUAGGGAAUCUUCCGCAAUGGGCGAAAGCCUGACGGAGCAACGCCGCGUGAGUGAUGAAGGUCUUCGGAUCGUAAAACUCUGUUAUUAGGGAAGAACAUAUGUGUAAGUAACUGUGCACAUCUUGACGGUACCUAAUCAGAAAGCCACGGCUAACUACGUG